rnacentral:tmRNA from 1 species
GUUUCAGCCUGUUUGCCGGCUUGUCACAAAGGGAAUGUUGUAGACAAACUGCACCCGGAGAUACUCUCAUGGACUUCUUUUCGGACGCGGGUUCGAUUCCCGCCAUCUCCACCA